rfam:Myotis brandtii contig316661, whole genome shotgun sequence.
GGUGGAUCUCGGGUAACGCACCCCGGAAUCGGGCUCCCUCCUCUAUGGUUCCCAGUGUGUCACCCGAGAACCGCA